AUGUAUAUUUUGGUUGGUGGCACCUGCACCACUUUUCCGAAAUUAAAUUAAGAUUUCUUAACAGCUCGACUAGCCCGAUAACGGAACUUUCCUUCGAUAUGCAUACACCUAAAUCUCGUGUCUCCAAGAAACCUUUGCAAAGCACAACAACAUCUGUCCCGCGUCUGCAGUUGUUAACCCAGCAAUUUCUCAAAUUUUCAUUUAUUUUCAAUCCUUAAACCACACGUUUCUGAAGAAAGGCUUUAUAUGCACUUCAACCCUGUUUCAGAAAAUCAGAAACUUUACCCAAAACGGAGAAGCAACAGCGUGAGUGAGUGGAAUGAAAUAAUGGACAGAACGGGUCACGGUCUUUAUUCUUUAAAAAUUAAUUGUUCUUCGUCUUCUGCCUUCUCACCCGCACCUGCCUCGACGAAGAACAGGAGAACAGCUUCAUAAGCACGACGUGUGCCAGUACGUAGUGACUAAAAGGAUAAGUAAGCAGUGUGUGCCUUGUUUUGUUCUCCGCUAUCUCUUUUGACUGACUGACACGGGUAAGCACUUAACCAUCGAGAAAGAAAGAGCGAGAGAGAGAUUGAUAAUCCUGAAAGUUGUGGUUCUCUGCUGUUUGUUUAUGUCGUGAUUAUCGAUUAUCAAAAUCCACACGACUCUCCAACAACAACGACUUUUCAAACGAUGCCAAACACCCUUGUUAAUAAGUCCGAGUUAUUUAGAAGUGAAGUGUGUCUCGGAUUUCUUACUUAAUGAUCGCUAUCUCGGCCUCUGUCUUGCUUGGUGGAAGGGAACAAUUACAAAAUAAGUUAAGGCUCUGUGGCUGAAAAUGUAUAAAGGGAGGAAGAUGAGACAUGGGUGGAAGUUGGCCAGAUUAGGAUCAGGGAUGCAGCAGGUUGAAACAUUUCAGCACAACUUCCACCACAAAUUCGUAAUCCGGUCUUUAAAAGGAAGGAAGCAGGCAGAACAUGUAAAUGAAGGGACACCUGCACGCCAUGGAGCGAGUGGUAAUAAUUUUAAUCCGUAAUUAGAUAAUUGCUUCAUUUGUUUAGGUAAAAAUGUUGAUUGGGUAGUGUAAUUCAUCAUUUUAAUAAAUUUCUUACGGAUGAAAGACAA